AAGGUGCUAAAAACAAUAUCUAAGCACUAAUGCUAAAAAUUGCCAAAGCUAAAACUUAAAGAACAUGGCGGCGGAAAUUAAAUUUAGGGGAACUUACCAGGUAAUUGACAACCCUCAAGAAAAAUCACCUUUACUAAAAGUUUGUAUACCGCCGUCUAGGGCCCUUUUGAGAAGGACCCGAAAAGGUUAAGCCAAAAAGACAGGUCAUGGUGCAGCCUAUGUGAAGGACAUUAAGGUGAGUUACAAUAAAAACUUUUUUCGGAAUAGAGAUGUAAGAAUAAUAAGAAGAUGGACUUAAAAGUAAUUGCUAUAGAAAUAUGCUUUGAAUUACAAAAAUUUUCGUGC
rnacentral:rRNA from 1 species